UAACCCCAUCGUGAGUCAAGGAGCAUCUGUAAAAUGUGUAAAUCUAUUCACUGUAAGAUUACUUAAGUUUUAAAAUCCUGAGGUACAAUAUUUCAUAAAUAAAAAUUUUGUAUUUCAUAGAAUGACAUAAGCAUAUUCAGAACCAGGCAAAGAUUAGGCUAUAUACUGUGAUUUCUGAAAAUUACUAUUUUGUCCACUAUACAUAAUCAUUUAUAAGUUGAAUAAUUUCUAAAAUGCAUAUGCUUUAUACUUUUCAGUGAAGUAUUUAUAAAGAUAUUUGUUUUAAUAUGUACUUCUUUUUAUAGGACUGGAAGGAAAAGUAUAUAAACCGUGAUUAUUCAAAGAUUUUCACUGAAAAUAUAGUUGAACAGCCCUGUCCAGAUGUCUUUUGGUUCCCCAUAUUUUCUGAAAAAGCCUGUGAUGAAUUGGUAGAAGAAAUGGAACAUUACGGCAAAUGGUCUGGGGGAAAACAUCAUGUAA
rnacentral:lncRNA from 1 species